rnacentral:pre_miRNA from 1 species
AGUGGGAUAGCUGGGUCAAAUGGUGCUUCCAUUCCACAUCUUCUGAGGAAUCUCCAAACUGCUUUCCACAGUGGUUGCACCAAUUUGUGGCCCCACCAGCAAU